rnacentral:rRNA from 1 species
UACACUCCUACGGGAGGCAGCAGUGGGGAAUAUUGGACAAUGGGCGCAAGCCUGAUCCAGCCAUGCCGCGUGAGUGAUGAAGGCCCUAGGGUUGUAAAGCUCUUUCACCGGUGAAGAUAAUGACGGUAACCGGAGAAGAAGCCCCGGCUAACUUCGUGCCAGCAGCCGCGGUAAUACGAAGGGGGCUAGCGUUGUUCGGAUUUACUGGGCGUAAAGCGCACGUAGGCGGACUAUUAAGUCAGGGGUGAAAUCCCGGGGCUCAACCCCGGAACUGCCUUUGAUACUGGUAGUCUUGAGUUCGAGAGAGGUGAGUGGAAUUCCGAGUGUAGAGGUGAAAUUCGUAGAUAUUCGGAGGAACACCAGUGGCGAAGGCGGCUCACUGGCUCGAUACUGACGCUGAGGUGCGAAAGCGUGGGGAGCAAACAGGAUUAGAUACCCUAGUAGUCC